rnacentral:rRNA from 1 species
CCUACGGGAGGCAGCAGUGAGGAAUAUUGGUCAAUGGGCGCGAGCCUGAACCAGCCAAGUCGCGUGAGGGAAGACGGUCCUAUGGAUUGUAAACCUCUUUUGUCGGGGAGCAAAAGACGCCACGCGUGGCGUUCCGCGAGUACCCGAAGAAAAAGCAUCGGCUAACUCCGUGCCAGCAGCCGCGGUAAUACGGAGGAUGCGAGCGUUAUCCGGAUUUAUUGGGUUUAAAGGGUGCGCAGGCGGAAGAUAAAGCCAGCGGUAAAAUUGGGGGGCUCAACCUCUUCGAGCCGUUGAAACUGGUUGUCUUGAGUGAGCGAGAGGUAUGCGGAAUGCGUGGUGUAGCGGUGAAAUGCAUAGAUAUCACGCAGAACUCCGAUUGCGAAGGCAGCAUACCGGCGCUCAACUGACGCUCAUGCACGAAAGUGUGGGUAUCGAACAGGAUUAGAUACCCUUGUAGUC